GAAAGGGAAUACUUCAGGCAUUCUCUUUAUUCGGGGGGGAGUGUGUUAGGAACAUCGGCCUGACUAAAGGGUAGCAAGACACGUCUGAUUUAUCCUUGCCCUCCUUGUAGAGAAGUCCUUUACAUGGUGUAGGUGUCCAUACAAUAGAUUUAUAUCGGCUGUAAGGAAGACAUUUUUUCUUGUGACAGUGUUGAGGCACUGGAGCAGGGCGCACAGAGGAGCUGAGGAUGCUCCGUCCCUGGAAGCGUCCAGGCCCAGGCCGGACGGGGCUUUGAGCAGUUCGAUCUAGUGCAAGAUGUCCCUGCUCAUGACAGGGUUAGAACUAGGUGCUCUUUAAGGCCCCUUCAACCCAAACCGUUCUGUAAUUCUGUAAUUAUUGCUGUCUAUGUAAAGAAGCCAAAGCAUGAACGACGAUCACUAAGGAAUUCAAUUCCCCCUCUUAAAAUGCAGCUCCUUCCUUGCAUUUAUUGCUCCUUUUAGAUAUAUUUUUAUUAUCAAGCUUCUGCGAAUCCACACUAAGGCAUGUGAGGUAAAAGGCUCUCUGAUGUAUCUACAAAUUAACGCAAGGAAGCAUUUUCCUGAGUGCCCGUCACCCAAGAUGCAAUUUAGAAGACAGCCCACAAGAGGUCCCACAGAUAUUGCUAGCCGGGGAGCCACAGCAACAAUGGAAAUUGCACCCUCUGCAUCAAUGAGCUGUCAGAGAAAGCACUUGGAAGAAAGGGGCCUUUAGUAUGGGAAGAAGCCAAUUAUUAUAGGCAAGUUAAGCUUCCCUCUGAAGUUGGAUAGUGACAGUAAUUACUGUCUCGCCUCCUAAGAGCUACACCUGUCAGUAACCAAGUAUCUAGCAUUGCACUUUGUCAUCUGCAAGCCUCUAUCGGCACCCUGUGAAAUGUGUUUAUCAUUUCUUCCACUACAGACACUUUAAACUCAAGAUCAAACCUUGCAGAGAAGUUUGGCUUCGCGAAUUUGGUGUUCAGAUCACAGCAGCCUGAACUGAGUGCAUCAUUCUGUGAUGCUGUGACACGACUUCAGGGCAUCCACUGUCUGCUGUGGGUGGACACUGAGUCUGGACAGGAGAAAAUGCAAGUGAAGAAGCAGAGGAGCCAGAUCAGCAUCCCUGGCAGUCUGAGGCAAUUCAUGAUCUCUGUCAGGCCACCCUUGCUAGUGAGCGUCAUGGUACAGCUGAGCAACAAAGCAGCACUGCCAGUGGAGGGCCAUUCCUCACCAGCACUGUGGGGAAGGUGUGAAGACAAGAGGCAGCAGAGAUUGGCAUCAAAACCUCACUUUAGGUGGGAAUCAAAAUCCCAAAAAUGUGUUUUCAAGCUCUUCCCUAAAGAGUUUGUUGUCUUUCUGCCCACCCCCUCCCCUUGCCCUUGAAUCUCUUAGUUACAAUAGGAAAAUUGUUUCACUCUUGCUUUUCCCUGUAGCUCAGCACUGGGCUCCCUUCCCAGAGCAAGUUUUUCAACUGAUUUUAAAAAGAGACUGUUUCCCCAUGAGACAGUGAGGAGGCAGAUGUGCUCUCUGACAUGCCAUGGCAUGUCUGCUGGCAGUGUUGUGCUCCAAGUCCAAGCUUGGUAUGCCUACUGAAAGAAAUGGUGUCUUUCUCAUGAGAGUACUUGUCCUUGGUGACACUAUCUUCUUCCUUUUCUUAGGAGAAAGAAACAGUCACAUACAACACUAAAGUCUCACAGGGGCCAUGAGAGGAGGCUGGAGAUUGAGCCUGGAAAAAUAUUUGGAGUCAAGAAUAUUUUGAAAGAUUAGGCUAGAGGGGUCAAGCAUGUGAGGGGAUAGAUUUUCUAUUUGUAGCAAAUCCAGUGUCAGUCGUGUUAACAGAGACAGGGCUGGAGAAGCAGUGUGGGAAAGCAGACAGACAAGUCUGGCAGCUUCUUAAUGGCUAGGGAGUUUGGAUGCUGACAUGCUUUUCAGGUUGUUUUGCAGGGAGGUAUUCCUCCUUUUGAGGCAUUGUUUUUGAUGCUUGUGACCCUCGGAGAACAGGAGGAUCGAUCAUCUAUGUCAGGUCAAUGAAGAUGGAAGUAAACCUUUCAUUCUCCUUUCCCCCUAUUCCUCUUUGUAUUUUCAACUCAUUUUCUUAUCACAAGAGACUUUCCUCAGAUUUCUCUCAUCAUAUCACUUGACCUGACACAACCUGCCUCCUGAGUUUCCUCACACCUAUUUCCAUUUAUUUUCCUUCUUCACCUUUUCUUAGCACCCCAGAUUUUAAGGAAUGCAGAUCCUCCUCAACUCUAAUUUUUGCCUAGUAUCUUCCUUUUCCUGCUGCUCAAUACCAUAUUCUGGGUCCUUACCUCUUUUCUUGCCCUUCCUUCUCUCCAACCUCUCUUAAUUUUCCUCAAUAUGCUUUACCUCUGUCAUGGCUUGCAAACUCUUGUGUCUGUGCAGUUUGUUGUCUACAGCCUCUCCUGUCUCCCACACACCUCUGCCUGCCACUGAGUGAUCAGCUUCCUCAUGGGGGGAAGUGGAGGAGCAGGCACUUCUCUGUGGUGACCAUUGAUAGAACCCAAGGGAAUGGCCUGAAGGCUCACAGCUGGAGAGGACAGCUAAUACCUUCUUUGGGGUGGUGAAUCUGACUUUGCAGCAUCCCCUUUGACAGCCUCAGGAACA